UACGAAGGGGGGCGAGCGUUUGUUCGGAAUUACUGGGCGUAAAGGGCGCGCAGGCGGCUCUGAAAGUCAGAUGUGAAAGCCCCGGGCUUAACCUGGGAAUUGCAUUUGAUACUCUGGAGCUUGAGUACGGGAGAGGAGAGUGGAAUUCCCAGUGUAGAGGUGAAAUUCGUAGAUAUUGGGAAGAACACCGGUGGCGAAGGCGGCUCUCUGGACCGUAACUGACGCUGAGGCGCGAAAGCGUGGGGAGCAAACAGG
rnacentral:rRNA from 1 species